GACGAACCGUGCAAACGUUGUUCGGAAUCACUGGGCUUAAAGGGUGUGUAGGCGGGCCGGCCAGUCUGUGGUGAAAGCCUCCAGCUUAACUGGAGAAGUGCCAUGGAUACUGCCGGUCUUGAGGAGGGUAGGGGCAUCUGGAACGGUCGGUGGAGCGGUGAAAUGCGUUGAUAUCGACCGGAACUCCGGUGGCGAAGGCGAGGUGCUGGACCCUUUCUGACGCUGAAACACGAAAGCCAGGGGAGCAAACGGG
rnacentral:rRNA from 1 species